GUGAGUUUUUCACGUUCUCUUUAAUUGCUGUGCUGAUCUGAAUAAGAAAAAAACAAAAGCAAGAGGGAAAAAAAAGGAUGGUUUAUUAUUUUUUACGCUGUUAUGUUUGUUUCCUCAGUAUUUGCUGCAGCUCUGCUUACCCAAGCUUUGUGUUCCUUCUGUCCCACUGGGAGUUGCCCAGUUUGGUUGCAUCUGGUGAAAUUCACCCUGAGACCUUACACAACUAGCUCAAACUACGUGAGAGCCAUUUGCAGUUCUCUCCAGACACCUGGAGAAUGGGUGACGUUUCUGAGGGUCUGGCAAGUGUACUUCUAUCAAAACUCAGUCUGUGAAGUUUCUGGGGAAAACCCUUCUGUGUCCUGAAGGGUUCAAACUCCUGUGAGGAUCCAUUUAUCAGGUGCUCACCUGGAUGGUUCCAGCUCUUAAAGUGAACACUUGUACUCUUACCCUGUAGUUUACAUCUAUUGUAUUUUUGUUAUUUUGCAAGAUUUUUUGUCUUUGCAAAAUAUUGUGCAUUUCACUCUUUGGAACCUCUCAGAUGGUUCUUUGGUGCAGCACCACCCCAUGGGACACUUGGCUGCUGUCCUGAAGGGGAUGGUCGCUAGAAUUGUAAAUUCUGGAGAGUUUAUAAGUCUUCUGUCCCCAGGGAGGUACCAUGCUUUGUUUACUUUUGUUCUGUUUGUUAGGCGCUGCUUCUCGUUGCAAGUAUGAAUUUCAAACUGCCCUGUUCUUAUUUUAACUGUUUUCCUGGUUCUCUCCGUCCGACAGGGAAAGACUCUCAUAUCCUCGUCGUCGGGCUCGGUGCUGUCCAAGAAGAUACAGAGACUAAAAAAAUCAUAAGAAGCAAAAUACGACUGCAGGGAAAAGAAGCUGGAGAGAACAGAAGAAAUGGAAUUGGGACGACGCCUCGGCCAGCCCCUCUCUGCCAUCGUCUCCUGAAUCUGCAGCAGAGCAGUUCCAGUCCAUCCGGGCACGUGCAAUCCAGUUCCUGAUGAUCUGAGCACACGGAGCAGCGCUCAGCUGCUGUGGGGGGCUCAGGGAAGGCAGUGUGUGCAUUGUCAUCUUCCUGAACCUACAGACAAAUCAAAACCCUCAGUGAGCAGAAUUUGUUGCAGACUCAGUGCACGCUGUGCCGGCCUCCCGGGAGUGUGAGGAGCUCAUGUGUGCUACUUUUUGCUUUAGGACGCUCUGAGGUAUUUAUUCCUUUUGGGAUACGUGAUGAGAAUUCCCAAGAGAGGUAGUUAUAAGGUAUGACAUUGGGAAAAAGCCUGUGUGGUUGGAAUGUUGUUGCUGUCAAAAGUUAAUUUUUCCUUCAUUCUUAGCCAGUAGUUAGCUUUUUGCUUUAUUUUUGUGGUAUCAGUAUUUUAUUGUUUAAAAAAUUCCUUCAAAAUAACUUCAGUGGUCGCCCACCAGUACCUUGUUCAGAUUUGCCUAUUUGCUUGUAGCUGAAAUGUUCACAUCUUGAUUAUCAUUCUAUUUAAGAAACUGCUGCCCAGCCAACUAAUAACUGAAUAUCCAUCUGUCUAGGACACGGGGAGAGGAUUUAGGUAAUGUCUUUGUUUCCAGAAAAAAGUUCCAGUGUACUUUCUAAACAGAGGAGAAGGGGGUGAAGACUCUGGGCUCUGAUGCCGUUGGGGCACCCCAAGGUCCCCAGGAGAGGGAGCCCCACUGCGGUGCAGGAGCAGGUGUGUUCUCAUCUAAUAUUGAACAAAUUAUAAAUAUGAAAAU